rnacentral:snRNA from 1 species
GUGCUCACUUUGGCAGCACAUCUACCAAAACCGGAACGAUACCGAGAAGACCAGCACGGCCCCCAUGCAAGGAUAACGCACAAAUCUCCCUUUUAUUUUU